AGCUCGGUGGUGCAGCGGAAGCAUGUGGGGCUCAUACUAGUAUAUGGCCACCCCAAGGUCGACGGAUCGAAACCGUCCUGAGCUA